AUGGAAUGCUGUCAAGGUGUAAUGGCAACUGCUUUAUUUUUCUCUGAACGCGUAUGUUAUAAAAAUCCAUUUUCUUAUAUUGUCAUGCUAUUUUUUGGCUUUAUUGUUUCUUCAGAUUGAAUCAAGUUUGCUUGUUAGUGUGGUGAUGUUAUUUAGGUAAUUCUGUUUGACUGGGGAUCCCAUUAGUAAUUAAUGAAUUUUACUAUUGAAUAAAUUGGGAGAUUGUGUUCUUGGGCAGUUGGCUGGCCGCAGAUAUAAUGAAUGUGGACAACCACUUUCUUCCUGAAAGUUAUGCGCCCCAUGCAGAUGAACCUUGGACAACUGGAAUUUUCUGUCAAUUGUUGCCAAAACUGCCUUGUCAACUGAAUGUGUCUCAUCUAAUGUUCUGGUACUUGUGUCUCAAUUCUACUCUUAACUCAUCUCAGCCAUCAGUUAGCACCACUGAUACAUCUCUUUCUUUUGGCAAUGGAGCUUUGGUUGACUCCUGCUGAUAACAUUGUAUUUACUAUUUGCAUAGGAAAAGGGCUUAGAUGAAAUUGUCUUCAAGGCGAUGGGAAGAGCUAUAAAUAAAAUUGUUAUGAUCGUGGAGCUAAUUAAGGCAGAGAUGAUGUUAUGCUUUUGAAUGUUCGUAAGCAACUUAAGGUAUACAUGAACUUCUUCAGAUGGUCUGAAUCCCCUCGCUGUUGAUGAUCGUGCUUUGGUAGCAGAUGCACUGCCUCUUGAGGGAGGAGGAUGGUGCAACAAUAUUACGACUUGCCUCUCAUGAAAAGAAAACCAUUUGGGUUCAUCCAAGAGGACUGGGUUUGAUGUCUACUUCUCCAUGGCUAGGGGGAAUGCCACUUUGCCUGCUAUGGAAAUGACCAAGUGCUUCGACAUUAGCUAGUAAGCCAUUGUUAUUAAGGUGUCUCUUGCUUGAAUUUAUACAUUAAGGAUCUGUUUUCAUAUUCAAUUUGUAAGAUGCUCCAAGUGUACAAGUACGAGCUUGAGCAAAACCCAGUAUAAUUUCUUUUCUUGAUCCCAUGAAAGGUGAAUGUUGAUGCAGCAGCAGUUAAAAUAGUCAUGGCUAGAGCUGGAUGUGAAAAUGGUAGUAAAGUGGAACAAGUGAGAAAUGGCCUUCAUAUUGUUAUAUUUAACAUUAUUGCUUUGUGGAAUAAAACUAUAAUUUCUCACAUGUUCUUUCAUUUUGUGUUUUCCCUUGUCGAACUCACAACCUUUCUCCAUCCUCAGAUAACAUAUGCAGUAGUUGUUGCAUGGAUUUUGAAUGCUACUCUAGUAGUACCUCAAAUAACAUAUGCACAUCUAAACCUCACUCUAUCCAGCUUCGUCCACUUUUUACAAUUUAGAACUGAAUGGUAACCAUUCUUUUCUCUAUUGGAGGCUCCAUACUUCGACAGGUAGGGCCCACGGUAAUGUUUAUAAUUGGUCUUUUUGUUGGUGCGCAAGUAAUCACAAAAUGUGAAGGUGAGCAGGAAUUGAUUUGAGCAUGGGAAUGGAGAAGCUUUAGCUUCAAAAUGUUAGCAAGUAUGAAUAGCUAGGAGGCAGGAGUAGGAGCACAAAUCAAAAACACAAUUCAAAGUGAUAGUGGCACCUGGGUAGAAAAUUUUGCAGUGAUCUUCAUUUUGUGGCCUAUGAAAUAUAUGUUGAACCUAGUAGAUCUUCAACAACAUAGGGAAGACAAAAACCUUUAGACUAAUGGAAUUUCAAUGGUCCCAUAGUUUCUCUAAAU